CGAAGAAGAAAAAAGAGGAGGAAGAAGAUGUCGAUCAAGCACUGUGACAAGCACGACUGCGAGCGGCGGCGGCUGUACCGCCAGUUCUGCGCCGCCCUGGUGGCCAUCAUCCUGCUCAUCCUCCUCAUCAUCCUCAUCGUCUGGCUCGUGCUCCGCCCCACCAGGCCGCGCUUCUACCUCAACGACCUCACCGUGGCGUGCCUGAACGCCACCUCCAACCCGGCGUCCUACCUCACCGUGACGCUGCAGGCGACGAUCGCCGCCCGCAACCCCAACACCCGCGUCGGCAUCUACUUCGACCGGACGG
rnacentral:lncRNA from 1 species